rnacentral:lncRNA from 1 species
AUGUGGGCAGGGCCACUGGCUGAUUGUGGGAACACAUGUAGAUUACAAAAACCUCAGGAUGGUUUCCACUGGGGAGUUCGUUUUUUUUUUUGUUUUUUUUUUUUUUUUUUGUCUCCAUAUCCCCAUGAUAGCCUUCCUGAAGUACUGCAUCUUCCAUGGUUCCACCCAGUCUUUGGCCCUCGGGUACUGAGCACGGAGUCCUCACACCUGACUAGGGGUGGUUGUCCUGAAAAGUCUCACUCUGGAAGUGGCUCUGCUCAUUCAUUCAGGCACCAACUUGUAACCGUGCUUAAUGGCAUGUAUCUGGCUGGAAAACCUCUAAAGGAAGAGAAAGAGGAAAAAUACAUGAGCCCGCGACUGGCUGGAUUGAAACUGUGAUCAGGGACUAAUCUGUGUUACCUCACUAGGAGCCUGAGUUGAAAUGAUGUAGCAGGGGACAAAUAAAUAACCCUCUCUGUUAAGAGGGGACUGGUAGGAAUGGAAAGAGGGAGAGAGAAAAGAAAUGGAGGCAUUCACAACAAGGAAGUCAGAAAGCAGUCUGAAAUGGAAAUGUUGGAAGGAAAGAAAGGAGGAAUUCUUUUACUUAAUUCUCUUCUCCCACCCCUCCCUGUAAAAUGGGAAUAGUGUUAGAAUGAAAGAAAAAGAAAGCGGAUGACCUAUUAAGAGCUGUGAAGUUCAGGAGCUCCUCUAUUAGGAUGUGGUGUUGCUGUGCUGGGGUUUUUUACUCUCCGUGCUCUCUGUAGCUUGGGGGCAUGUCACACACUUGUGAGAACUUUACCGGAGUGUUGAUGCAAUAUUGUGUCAGUAACUGAGUGAUUUGUUUUUCCUCUGGACAUUGAUUGAAGAAAUUCUUAUUACAUUUUAUAGCUUGCUUGGCCUUCGUAUGAGAGUCAAGACAUAAAUUGGACCAUAAAUUGGCCUCUGUCAGAAUCUACAUCGGAAUGACACCAAAUACAUGUCAUCAGGCUUGUGUUCCAGCUAACAGCAGGAAUCCACUGGUGCUUGUCAUCUUGAUCAAAUGUUCACCUUACUCCCUUUUCCAGCUUAUGCUUCUACUUUGAAGAAAAUACGGUAAAGACCCUGGCAAAUUUGCUGUUCUGAUUCGGCAGCAUUAUACAGCAAAAAGAAUACUGGGGGAUUUAAUUGAUUUGCUCCAAGUUAAGUCUCCACUGUGAGUAUCAGAGGUAGGAUGCAUAUAAAUAAAAAUAGAUGCAAAGAAAGAAAUAUAUAGUUAUACAAAAAGGACAAGAAGGUAUACAUAACAGAUAUAUUUAUCCCACAAGUAAAGCCGAUACAUGAUGAUUCAUGAGUGGCAGAGAUACGGUUGAGUUAUACAGAUUUGUUCUCUGGAGUAAGAUAAACUUGUCAUUUCAGCUCCUACCAUUAUGGACUCUGAGCAGAAAAUCAAAUUUUCAAGAGUUGGCUUAUAUUAUCAAUGAACACAUAUGGCCAUUUGAGUUAAUUGAAAAAUUCAGAUGAUUUUACCAGAUAUAAAUAUGUAUUAUUAUUUUGAUAAAAGUAAGAUUUAAUAACUUUUGAAAUAAAAAUUAUAUUUUUAUAAUCAGGAAGUAAAUACUUUAUGUUAAUAAAUUCACUUCUUAAUAAUUUUUAUAAUUUGUGACCACAGUGUGGUCUAGACUCGAUAUAAAAUGCCACACGUAGAAGGUGUCUUUUUAAGUCAAUAAUUCACAGAAAGUGUUAAGGCAUAUUUGCUUAAUUGAAAACCUUACUAGAAUCAUAGCAAUCAAAAAAUGAAGAUUUCAUCAAAAUAUUUCUUCUAAAAGAAGCUUUAGAUCCAGAUAGUUUUAUGGAUGAGUUUUUUUAAUUUUUCAAAGAUUGGACAAAUCCCAAGCUAAAUAAACUUUUGAGUAUAGAAAAACAUGGAGGAGUUCUUUAAUACUAAUGUUAUACUAAUGUUUUUUAAGACUAACAUUAAAACCCCAUCUCCCCCCAAAAAAUCACAAC